rnacentral:rRNA from 1 species
CAUAUCAAUAAGCGGAGGAAAAGAAACCAACAGGGAUUGCUCUAGUAACGGCGAGUGAAGCAGCAAUAGCUCAAAUUUGAAAUCUGGCGUCUUCGGCGUCCGAGUUGUAAUUUGUAGAGGAUGCUUCUGAGUAGCCACCGACCUAAGUUCCUUGGAACAGGACGUCAUAGAGGGUGAGAAUCCCGUAUGCGGUCGGAAAGGCGCUCUACACGUAGCUCCUUCGACGAGUCGAGUUGUUUGGGAAUGCAGCUCUAAAUGGGAGGUAAAUUUCUUCUAAAGCUAAAUAUUGGCCAGAGACCGAUAGCGCACAAGUAGAGUGAUCGAAAGAUGAAAAGCACUUUGGAAAGAGAGUUAAAAAGCACGUGAAAUUGUUGAAAGGGAAGGGAUUGCAACCAGACUUGCUCGCGGUGUUCCGCCGGUCUUCUGACCGGUCUACUCGCCGCGUUGCAGGCCAGCAUCGUCUGGUGCCGCUGGAUAAGACUUGAGGAAUGUAGCUCCCUCGGGAGUGUUAUAGCCUCUUGUGAUGCAGCGAGCGCCGGGCGAGGUCCGCGCUUCGGCUAGGAUGCUGGCGUAAUGGUCGUAAUCCGCCCGUCUUGAAACACGGACCAAGGAGUCUAACAUCUAUGCGAGUGUUCGGGUGUCAAACCCCUACGCGUAAUGAAAGUGAACGGAGGUGAGAACCGCAAGGUGCAUCAUCGACCGAUCCUGAUGUCUUCGGAUGGAUUUGAGUAUGAGCAUAGCUGUUGGGACCCGAAAGAUGGUGAACUAUGCCUGAAUAGGGUGAAGCCAGAGGAAACUCUGGUGGAGGCUCGCAGCGGUUCUGACGUGCAAAUCGAUCGUCAAAUUUGGGUAUAGGGGCGAAAGACUAAUCGAACCAUCUAGUAGCUGGUUCCUGCCG